rnacentral:rRNA from 1 species
AGUGAACGCUGGCGGUAGGCCUAACACAUGCAAGUCGAACGGCAGCACAGUAAGAGCUUGCUCUUACGGGUGGCGAGUGGCGGACGGGUGAGGAAUACAUCGGAAUCUACUUUUUCGUGGGGGAUAACGUAGGGAAACUUACGCUAAUACCGCAUCCGACCUACGGUUGAAAGCAGGGGAUCUUCGGACCUUGCGCGAUUGAAUGAGCCGAUGUCGGAUUAGCUAGUUGGCGGGGUAAAGGCCCACCAAGGCGACGAUCCGUAGCUGGUCUGAGAGGAUGAUCAGCCACACUGGAACUGAGACACGGUCCAGACUACUACGGGAGGCAGCAGUGGGGAAUAUUGGACAAUGGGCGCAAGCCUGAUCCAGCCAUACCGCGUGGGUGAAGAAGGCCUUCGGGUUGGAAAGCCCUUUUGUUGGGAAAGAAAAGCAGCAGGUUAAUACCCCGCUGUUCUGACGGUACCCAAAGAAUAAGCACCGGCUAACUUCGUG